UUUGAUAUUAAAUUUUUGUUUCAUAAUCACAUUUUUCCAGUCAUUGCAGUUUCCGUGAAAAUAUAACUUAAUGGACCAAAACGAAUUUCUAUGGAGAAGAAAGUAUGCCUGUGGUUUUCCAGGCGGGUAAAAAAGACGGUGCACGCGCCGCUUGCAGAAACGUUUCGUAAAUUCGAAGAAUGGCUGGAAAGAAGUGGCCGCCGCACAAAGCGUGCCGACACAACCGGGCUCGUUUGCCCCGCGGAGGUAAUUGUCUUCUUGGCCGCACGAGAGCGCACGUAUUCCGCAAGCAAAUACACACCAAGAGGCUGGCUUACAUACAGCGUUCUCACGGGAUGGAGAAUAAACACCAUGGUCCGGUCUGUUACCGACUUUUCAACUUUUCGUUUCCUGGACACGGUUUGUUGGAACAUUCCUCUCACUCGUUCAGUUGUCGAUUUGUGGAUAACGAAUUGCAAUGAAUAGAAGAAACUUCUAUAUUGUUUAUAUUGAUGUUAUAAUUUGUGUUCUCUUUUUCAAGAGAAGAAUUCUUGUAAUUGUAAAUCAUGUUAAGAAGAUAGAAAAUGAAUGAAAUUAGAAAAAUGAAAAAAAAAAAAAGAAAAAAACAGUUAUUCUUGAAUUUAAAAUAAAAUUAGAAAAAGAAAUAAUAUCAGAAGAGAAAGAAAUAAAUUAUAAAAUUAUAAUAAAGAUGUUAAUUGUUAAACUAUUUUGUUUCAAAUAGUUAAUAUCUAUUUUGCUCUUCGAUCCCCAGACCGGAAAACCCGUCGAAAAUUUAUCGAGCGCGGCUGUAGAAUGUCUUUUCGUGAUUAUUCUCAGCUUAACGUGCCACGUCUCUCUUUGAUCCUUCGUGAAAUAUAAAUCGAAAGAAACUUACACAGCAGAAUAUUUACGAUA